AGAGUUGUAGCUCAGUGGUAAGAGCUCAUGCUUUGAAUGUCAAAAGUCUCAGGUUCAGUCCCCAGCAUCUCCA